rnacentral:rRNA from 1 species
GACAGAGGGUGCAAACGUUGUUCGGAAUUACUGGGCGUAAAGCGCGUGUAGGCGGCUAUGCAAGUCGGGCGUGAAAUCCCCAGGCUCAACCUGGGAACUGCGCUCGAAACUGUGGGUCUUGAGUGUCGGAGAGGAUGGCGGAAUUCCUGGUGUAGAGGUGAAAUUCGUAGAUAUCAGGAGGAACACCGGUGGCGAAGGCGGCCAUCUGGACGACAACUGACGCUGAGAUGCGAAAGCGUGGGGAGCAAACGGG